rnacentral:rRNA from 1 species
CAGCAGCCACGGGAAUACGGAGGGGGCUAGCGUUGUUCGGAAUUACUGGGCGUAAAGCGCACGUAGGCGGCUUGGUAAGUUAGAGGUGAAAUCCCCGGGCUUAACCUGGGAACUGCAUUUGAAACUGGCAGGCUAGAGUCUUGUAGAGGGGGGUAGAAUUCCAGGUGUAGCGGUGAAAUGCGUAGAGAUCUGGAGGAAUACCGGUGGCGAAGGCGGCCCCCUGGACAAAGACUGACGCUCAGGUGCGAAAGCGUGGGGAGCAAACAGGAUUAGAUACCCGCGUAGUCCCUGUCUCUUAUAC